GGCGGCGUAGCUCAGUUGGCUAGAGCAUGCGGUUCAUACCCGCAGUGUCAGCGGUUCGAAUCCGUUCGCCGCUACCA
rnacentral:tRNA from 1 species